rnacentral:rRNA from 1 species
AUUGAACGCUGGCGGCAUGCCUUACACAUGCAAGUCGAACGGUAACGUGGGGCAACCUGGCGACGAGUGGCGAACGGGUGAGUAAUGUAUCGGAACGUGCCCAGUUGUGGGGGAUAACUGCUCGAAAGAGCAGCUAAUACCGCAUACGACCUGAGGGUGAAAGCGGGGGACCUUCGGGCCUCGCGUUAUUCGAGCGGCCGACGUCUGAUUAGCUAGUUGGUGGGGUAAAGGCUCACCAAGGCGACGAUCAGUAGCGGGUCUGAGAGGAUGAUCCGCCACACUGGGACUGAGACACGGCCCAGACUCCUACGGGAGGCAGCAGUGGGGAAUUUUGGACAAUGGGCGAAAGCCUGAUCCAGCCAUGCCGCGUGAGUGAAGAAGGCCUUCGGGUUGUAAAGCUCUUUUGUCCGGGAGGAAAUCCCGUAACCCAAUACGUUACGGGGAUGACAGUACUAGAAGAAUAAGCACCGGCUAACUACGUGCCAGCCGCCGCAGUAACAC